rnacentral:rRNA from 1 species
AAUAUUGGACAAUGGGGGCAACCCUGAUCCAGCCAUGCCGCGUGAGUGAAGAAGGACUUCGGAACGUAAAGCACUUUAAGAGGGGAGGAAGGGCUUUAGGUUAAUAACCUGAAGUUUUGACGUUACCAACAGAAUUAGCACCGGCUAACUCUGUGCCGGCAGCCGCGGUAAUACAGAGGGUGCAAGCGUUAAUCGGAAUUACUGGGCGUAAAGCGCGCGUAGGUGGUUCAGUAAGAUGGGUGUGAAAUCCCCGGGCUUAACCUGGGAACUGCUUUCAUAACUGCUGAGCUAGAGUACGGUAGAGGGUAGUGGAAUUUCCUGUGUAGCGGUGAAAUGCGUAGAUAUAGGAAGGAACACCAGUGGCGAAGGCGACUACCUGGACUGAUACUGACACUGAGGUGCGAAAGCGUGGGGAGCAAACA